AUUAGGGGAUCAGGAUCACAUGAUCCCAAAAGACCAAAAUAUGGGUUGCUUUUGGCUCUGGGGCCUUUUAGAGAAGCUACUUGGUAAAGCAACUGUAGAUUUGCAAGGGUAAGAAUCGAAGGGGCAAAGCCAGGUCAGUACAGCUAGCAUUAGAGAUUUAAGAGUUCUCACCUCUUAAAUCUGAGUGAAGAGUGUGACAAGUAGACAGAAUUAUGAAAUUGGGGGUGGAAAAAUGAGUGUCCCCAAAUAUUUCUGUAUGCCAGUAACCCACCCUGACCUGGUGAAUAAGAUGCAUGGGAGAGCUCAAAAUUAAUGAAGGUCAUCUGGUUUGUCUCCAUGGCUAACUAAGGUGUUUUCGAGAGUGUGGCUUCCAGAAGGAACAUUUAGAAGGAGGGCUUCCUCUGUAGAAAGAAGCUCUAAACUCGAUUCCAGGAGGGUUCUCAAGCCAGCUCUGCCACCUCUGUAGGCCUCAGUUAUCUGUCAUUCAUUCCCUCUGCUAUUCAGUAAACAUUUCUUGAACUCUUUCUGUGGGCUGGCAUGGUACUGAUGGAUGAGGCACUUUUAACAAGGUAACCUUUGCUGUUGAAGAGCUCACAGCUUUGAGGGGGCAAGAGUCAAGCACAGAGAUUUUGAGUAGACACUACUCAGGGGUAUGAACAAAGAACCCUGGAGGAAUUAUGUCAAUAGGACUACAGUUAGCACUUAGGGAGCCUUGUGAAAUUUUAGAAAGGCACCUCUUUUUCUGGACCACAGCAGCUUCAUGACAGAAUGUCCAGCCUGGCAAGCUGAGCACAGAUUUCCACCCACCCUAGGUUUUUUCCCUAAGGCCGAUUGCUCUUGCCUGAUGAACAGUCUACAUCCCUGAAUGUCAAGAUUGCGACAGAAAGGGUUGAAAGAAGGACAAGGUGGAGGGAUCCAUUUUAGGCAGAAGAAAGAAUAUGGACAAAAACCAGAGGCAAGGGAAGGAGCUCCCCACACUCGGGCACGUGCCCUUGGUUCAAUGUGACUAGAAGGUAGAGUGAAAUAGAAGCAAAUGAAACUGACAAAAUUCCUUGCCUUUGAGGACAUCCCUGGAGCUUGAUAGGCCUCCAGUAUCAAUUCAAUCUAUCAGAGGGCACAUUGAUUUCUGUCCCACCUUCUAAUAUUGAAUGAGCUCCUAGAUGAGAUGUGCACAAAAGCCCUUUGAGAACAGGGUUCAUUCUGAUAUCACUUUUAAUCCUAAUCCAGGUGAACAACUAUAGUGCCCAUGAUUUGGGGGCCUGUUUCUGUAACCAGGCACCUCCCUGAC
rnacentral:lncRNA from 1 species